rnacentral:rRNA from 1 species
AGUGAACGCUGGCGGUAGGCCUAACACAUGCAAGUCGAACGGCAGCACAGUAAGAGCUUGCUCUUACGGGUGGCGAGUGGCGGACGGGUGAGGAAUACAUCGGAAUCUACUUUUUCGUGGGGGAUAACGUAGGGAAACUUACGCUAAUACCGCAUACGACCUACGGGUGAAAGCAUGGGAUCUUCGGACCUUGCGCGAUUGAAUGAGCCGAUGUCGGAUUAGCUAGUUGGCGGGGUAAAGGCCCACCAAGGCGACGAUCCGUAGCUGGUCUGAGAGGAUGAUCAGCCACACUGGAACUGAGCCACGGUACAGACUCCUACGGGAGGCAGCAGUGGGGAAUAUUGGACAAUGGGCGCAAGCCUGAUCCAGCCAUACCGCGUGGGUGAAGAAGGCCUUCGGGUUGUAAAGCCCUUUUGUUGGGAAAGAAAAGCAGCAGGUUAAUACCCCGCUGUUCUGACGGUACCAAAAGAAUAAGCACCGGCUAACUUCGUG